rnacentral:rRNA from 1 species
ACUCCAGAACUGCCUUCGAUACUGAGAGUCUUGAGUCCGGGAGAGGUGAGUGGAACUGCGAGUGUAGAGGUGAAAUUCGUAGAUAUUCGCAAGAACAUCAGUGGCGAAGGCGGCUCACUGGCCCGGUACUGACGCUCAGGUGCGAAAGCGUGGGGAGCAAACAGGAUUAGAUACCCUGGUAGUCCACGCCGUAAACGAUGUCGACUUGGAGGUUGUGCCCUUGAGGCGUGGCUUCCGGAGCUAACGCGUUAAGUCGACCGCCUGGGGAGUACGGCCGCAAGGUUAAAACUCAAAUGAAUUGACGGGGGCCCGCACAAGCGGUGGAGCAUGUGGUUUCAUUCGAUGCAACGCGAAGAACCUUACCUACUCUUGACAUCCAGAGAACUUUCCAGGGAUGGAUUGGUGCCUUCGG